AUUGAACGCUGGCGGCAGGCCUAACACAUGCAAGUCGAGCGGAGCGGCGGACGGGUGAGUAAUGCCUAGGAAUCUGCAUGGUAGUGGUGGAUAACGUCCGGAAACGGGCGCUAUUACCGCAUCCUAUCAGAUGAGCCUAGGGCGGAUUAGCUAGUUGGGGGGGUAAAGGCCUACCGGGGCGACGAUCCGGAGCUGGUCUGAGUGGAUGAUCAGUCACACUGGAACUGAGACACGGUCCAGACUCCUACGGGAGGCAGCAGUGGGGAAUAUUGGACAAUGGGCGAAAGCCUGAUCCAGCCAUGCCGCGUGUGUGAAGAAGGUCUUCGGAUUGUAAAGCACGUUAAGUUGGGAGGCGUUACCAACAGAAUAAGCACCGGCUAACUUCGUGCCAGCAGCCGCGGUAAUUC
rnacentral:rRNA from 1 species